UGCUCCCAGUUUACAAACUGCCUUUUUUGGUGUGUGCACACUCAACUUCUACUAACGACUACUUUGGUGAGUCAUCGGUAUUGCUGCUGUUAUUUCUGAACUUUUGACAUUUCAUGGUGUGAGAAGUUGAAUUCAGAGAAGACGCCUGAUGACUCGGAGGCCGGUGAGCAAACAGGUGCCGGUGCCCACAGAGCCUGCCGAGCCCCCGGCUUUUUUGCGACCCCAGAAUUUGAGGGUCAGUCUCUCUUGGAUCCAAGCUCCACUUUCUUUGUGUUUGGAGCUCUCGGACUAUAUUGUGAUUUUAUUUGUGGAAGUGUCUUGAUCUUUCACCACGGCCAUUUUUAAGUCUUUUGCCAUAUACAGACAGCUUUUCUCUGAGGCUUUUGCAAAGUGUUCCUGCAAAAAUGCUUCAUGUUCAAAAAGAUCCAUGGAAAAGCCCCUGAUGAGUAUUCUAAAAGGUUUUGUCUUCUAGCUAUAAGCUGGACAGGAUUAUGAAUUCUUCCAGUUUCCUCUAAUAUUUGGCUAGAACUCUCCAAACAAACAUUUCCAAUCUUCUCCCAUUCUUUGGACUUGGAAUCACGAUGAAACUAACAUCGCCCUUUUCCAAAGCCAUGCAAGCUGAAGCUGGACAAUUUGAUGUAAACUUCAGGGAAACCACUGCAACAGCUCACGUGUGGACAAUUUUCAUGCCUGUGGCUGUGUGGCCACUCAGAAAGAUCACCAGAGACAUUCACACUGCAAACCAGAAAAAUUUGUCGGAUUGCCGCUGCCUGCCCUCGCUCCACCGGAAGAUGCUUAGAACCCGACAUCUAGACAUCUUCUCAACUGGCCGUGAUCCAAACUCAGAAGCUGAAUUUAUAGUUUUCCCAAACUAUUAAUCUUUGUUUUUCUUAUGUUUCUGUAGAAAUGCCUCUCAUUAAGUCACCUGAUUGCUCACAUCAUGUAGAGGUCUAACUUAAUUGGAAGGUCACCAACAAUAGCACCUCCUGAAAGGAAACACCCUCAUGUUCAUGCUGUCCUGAGUAGCCAUGAGGAUGUGUGUUUACUAGCGUAUCGUUUUGUGCUUAUGUAAAUAACUUAAAAAAAAUUAUAACCUGUUUGCGUUAUAUAACUGGUUAAACCUUGGCUCUUUUGGGGAAUCUCUACUCUGGGGAAUUUCUCAAUCCUUGGCUGUUAUUCUUACAGUCAUCAUCUUAACCUCUCUGGCGCGUGAUAUACUCGUG